AUUCAUUCUCAUUUUUUUUCAUCCCAAAAGUCGUGCCCUCCAUAGCCAAGGAGUCCAAGCUUUCAUCUUCAAAUUUUAGCUCCGUUUAUCAACGUAAUGAAUAUCCGAUCGCACAACCGGUGUUAGAUCAAGGCGAAGGAACCUAUAGUGCGUUUUGGAGACAAAGGAGUGAACCUAGAAGGGGAGAAGUAUCAAGGUGAAAUAUGCUUAUGUUCAUAAGCCUAAGAGGUUAGAGUUGAUAGUAUGUCAAGUGUGGUUGGGCAGCUUUGCAAUUUUUGGCAGGUCACUGGGGGUCAACAUGGUUAAAAAUCGUGGCAUAUUGUAUAAUAGUUCAAUCUUUGAUCUUCCGCUGGAUAAAUGUUAAGUUUUAAAAUGUUAAUAGAUUUUAAUUGUGCUUUUUAAGCUAAAAAGAAAAUAGGAAAAUUUCAGUACGGGUUGUCGAUACUGAAACAUGACAUCACGUAUUCGGUGGGUUUACCUACCGGGUAAGGGGUGUUAUAGUGGAGCAGUUGGAUCAUCUGAUGAUGGUGUUGAGGGAUUUAAAAACCACGUGUUAUGAGUCUCACUGAGCUUGAGGCCAACUGCAACUCUCCGGCCUUUGUGGAGCGUUUGUUCUUCUUUGAGGUGUUUUUCGACUCGCUGGAGUGCUGUUUCAGGCAUGACGAGACGAGCAGGGCGGAGGCAGAGUCGUGCCGGUUCAGGUCGUGCAUUAGGAACGUCCUCGUGGAUGAUGGGGAUGAGAGAAAGUUUAGCAUAUGGGUAUAAGUGUGUGGAGGGCGUUUUUUGCUCGGUAUGAGUUGGCGGAGGUUGAGCUGAGCGCAUCGGCCGUGAACAAGGCGUACCUCGGGCUACAGAUGCAGAUUGUUCCCUCGGCCAUAUCCACAAUUGUUUUUGCGUUCUUAAGAAUUGUCUCCCUAAAAGUAUCCCACUAUAUUCCCUAGCUUCAGGCUCACUCAUGUGUAUCACAUAGAAAUCAACUAGGUAUAAGAAAUCAUGCACCUUGACUAA